GGCCGAGUGUUGGGUGGAAGACUAGUGAUUUUGUUGUGACGCUGUUCAAACAACAACAAGUCCCAGUCUGCCUCUCAGCACCAGCA
rnacentral:pre_miRNA from 1 species